CAUGCGCAGCAGCGCCCUCUGCUGGACGACAUUUCCAGGCGUAGCGUGGACUCGCAUUGUUUAUCCUGCUGCGAGGCAAGUAACCUUUAACAGAAAAAAAUACACUUUUGAAUCUCAUUACACUUUUGCACUUCUAUAAAUAUAAAUCUCGGUAACAAUAACUUCAAUCCAUGUGAUCCUGAUAGGCUACACACCUGGUGAGAAGAGCUCACCUGCACCUGGUCCAGCCAAUGGCGGACAGCCAUGAAAGACGUCUCCUGGGUGACAUCGUACAUAGCAACGAUCCCAUCCGCCCGACGAAAGUACUGCUGUGUGAUGCUGUGGAAUCUGAUGUGGAAGAAUUUAGCAGCUGUCAAUCAUGUAAAGACCUUUCCUGUCCUGCGGUGUCCCACAGCUGCAGAGCGACGGGUGUGGAGUCCAGCAUCACACACCUGACCUGGAAAUCCAUCCCUGUCAAUCAAACAUGACAGGUCAGUUGACUCCGCCCACAGAAGCGUCACAGGAUACAGUCACUUAUGUUUUGAUUGGUCGGUUCCUGUGGACUUAUCUCUCAGAUAAGAAGAGGCAAAAAGAGGCCAUAGUACACAUCUCCACUACAUACUGCAGGUGACGUCAGG